rnacentral:rRNA from 1 species
AUUGAACGCUGGCGGCAUGCCUUACACAUGCAAGUCGAGCGGCAGCGCGGGGGCAACCCUGGCGGCGAGCGGCGAACGGGUGAGUAAUGCAUCGGAACGUGUCCUCUUGUGGGGAUAACCAGUCGAAAGACUGGCUAAUACCGCAUGAGCUCGAGAGAGGAAAGCAGGGGAUCCGCAAGGACCUUGCGCGAGAGGAGCGGCCGAUGCCCGAUUAGCUAGGUUGGUGGGGUAAAAGCCUACCAAGGCGACGAUCGGUAGCUGGUCUGAGAGGACGACCAGCCACACUGGGACUGAGACACGGCCCAGACUCCUACGGGAGGCAGCAGUGGGGAAUCUUGCGCAAUGGGCGAAAGCCUGACGCAGCCAUGCCGCGUGAAUGAUGAAGGUCUUA